UACGUAGGGGGCAAGCGUUGUUCGGAAUUAUUGGGCGUAAAGGGCGCGUAGGCGGUCUGACAAGUCUUGUGUGAAAUCUCUGGGCUCAACCCAGAGUCUGCACAGGAAACUGUCGGGCUAGAGUAUGGGAGAGGUGCGUGGAAUUUCCGGUGUAGCGGUGAAAUGCGUAGAUAUCGGAAGGAACACCUGUGGCGAAAGCGGCGCACUGGACCAAAACUGACGCUGAGGCGCGAAAGCUAGGGGAGCAAACAGG
rnacentral:rRNA from 1 species